rnacentral:rRNA from 1 species
UGGGGAAUAUUGGACAAUGGGCGCAAGCCUGAUCCAGCCAUGCCGCGUGAGUGAUGAAGGCCUUAGGGUUGUAAAGCUCUUUCGCCGACGAAGAUAAUGACGGUAGUCGGAGAAGAAGCCCCGGCUAACUUCGUGCCAGCAGCCGCGGUAAUACGAAGGGGGCUAGCGUUGUUCGGAAAUCACUGGGCGUAAAGCGCACGUAGGCGGAUUGUUAAGUCAGGGGUGAAAGCCUGGAGCUCAACUCCAGAACUGCCCUUGAUACUGGCAAUCUCGAGUCCGGAAGAGGUAAGUGGAACUGCGAGUGUAGAGGUGAAAUUCGUAGAUAUUCGCAAGAACACCAGUGGCGAAGGCGGCUUAUUGGUCCGGUACUGACGCUGAGGUGCGAAAGCGUGGGGAGCAAAACAGGAUUUAGAUACCCCUGGUAGUCCACGCCGUAAACGAUGGAGGCUAGCCGUUGGCGANCAUGCUCGUCAGUGGCGCAGCUAACGCAUUAAGCCUCCCGCCUGGGGAGUACGGUCGCAAGAUU